GAUGAACGCUGGCGGCGUGCCUAAUACAUGCAAGUCGAGCGAACAGAUGAGGAGCUUGCUCCUCUGACGUUAGCGGCGGACGGGUGAGUAACACGUGGAUAACCUACCUAUAAGACUUGGAUAACUUCGGGAAACCGGAGCUAAUACCGGAUAAUAUAUUGAACCGCAUGGUUCAAUAGUGAAAGACGGUUUUGCUGUCACUUAUAGAUGGAUCCGCGCCGCAUUAGCUAGUUGGUAAGGUAACGGCUUACCAAGGCAACGAUGCGUAGCCGACCUGAGAGGGUGAUCGGCCAAACUGGAACUGAGAAACGGUCCAGACUCCUAAGGGAGGCAGCAGUAGGGAAUCUUCCGCAAUGGGCGAAAGCCUGACGGAGCAACGCCGCGUGAGUGAUGAAGGUCUUCGGAUCGUAAAACUCUGUUAUUAGGGAAGAACAAAUGUGUAAGUAACUAUGCACGUCUUGACGGUACCUAAUCAGAAAGCCACGGCUAACUACGUG
rnacentral:rRNA from 1 species